rnacentral:piRNA from 1 species
ACUGUGUGUAGUGCUGUUUACAUGGU